rnacentral:rRNA from 1 species
AUUGAACGCUGGCGGCAGGCCUAACACAUGCAAGUCGAACGAGUGGCGGACGGGUGCGUAAGGUCUGGGAAACUGCCCGAUGGAGGGGGAUAACUACUGGAAACGGUAGCUGAUACCGCAUACCAUCGGAUGUGCCCAGAUGUGAUUAGCUAGUAGGUGGGGUAACGGCUCACCUAGGCGACGAUCCCUAGCUGGUCUGAGAGGAUGACCAGCAAAACUGGAACUGAGACACGGUCCAGACUCCUACGGGAGGCAGCAGGGGGGAAUAUUGCACAAGGGGCGCAAGCCGGAUGCAGCCAUGCCGCGUGUAUGAAGAAGGCCUUCGGGUGUUAAAGUACUUUCAGCGAGGAGGCGUUACUCGCAGAAGAAGCACCGGCUAACUACGUGCCAGCAGCCGCGGUAAUUC